UCCGCAAUAGUCUAGUGGUCAGGAUUUCCUACAUUCAGUAGUAAGGCCGGGGUUCGAAUCCCCGUUGCGGGA